rnacentral:tRNA from 1 species
GCGCUCGGCGACGCGGUCCUCGCGGUGGUGGCCUUCUGGGGCGUCGCCGCGGUGGCCGGGACGCGGCGGUGGAUCCUCCAUCCGAGCGCCC